rnacentral:rRNA from 1 species
GACGAACGCUGGCGGCGUGCCUAAUACAUGCAAGUCGAACGCUUUUUCUUUCACCGGAGCUUGCUCCACCGAAAGAAAAAGAGUGGCGAACGGGUGAGUAACACGUGGGUAACCUGCCCAUCAGAAGGGGAUAACACUUGGAAACAGGUGCUAAUACCGUAUAACACUAUUUUCCGCAUGGAAGAAAGUUGAAAGGCGCUUUUGCGUCACUGAUGGAUGGACCCGCGGUGCAUUAGCUAGUUGGUGAGGUAACGGCUCACCAAGGCAACGAUGCAUAGCCGACCUGAGAGGGUGAUCGGCCACACUGGGACUGAGACACGGCCCAGACUCCUACGGGAGGCAGCAGUAGGGAAUCUUCGGCGAUGGACGAAAGUCUGACCGAGCAACGCCGCGUGAGUGAAGAAGGUUUUCGGAUCGUAAAACUCUGUUGUUAGAGAAGAACAAGGAUGAGAGUAAAAUGUUCAUCCCUUGACGGUAUCUAACCAGAAAGCCACGGCUAACUACGUGCCAGCCGCCGCAGUAA